AUACGUAGGGGACGAGCGUUGUCCGGAAUUACUGGGCGUAAAGGGCGCGCAGGCGGAUAUUUAAGUCAGCUGUAAAAGGCAUGAGCUCAACUCAUGUAUGCGGUUGAAACUGGGUAUCUAGAGUGCUGGAGAGGUAGGCGGAAUUCCCGGUGUAGCGGGGAAAUGCGUAGAUAUCGGGAAGAACACCAGUGGCGAAGGCGGCUUACUGGCCAGCAACUGACGCUGAGGCGCGAAAGCCAGGGGAGCGAACGGGAUUAGAUACCCCGGUAGUCCUGGCCGUAAACGAUGAAUGCUAGGUGUGGGUGUCGAGAGGCAUCCGUGCCGGAGUUAACGCGAUAAGCAUUCCGCCUGGAGAGUACGAUCGCAAGAUUGAAACUCAAAUGAAUUGACGGGG
rnacentral:rRNA from 1 species